rnacentral:rRNA from 1 species
UGGUGAGGUAAAGGCUCACCAAGGCGACGAUGCGUAGCCGACCUGAGAGGGUGAUCGGCCACAUUGGAACUGAGACACGGUCCAGACUCCUACGGGAGGCAGCAGUGGGGAAUAUUGCACAAUGGGCGAAAGCCUGAUGCAGCAACGCCGCGUGAGUGAUGAAGGCCUUCGGGUUGUAAAGCUCUGUCUUUGGGGACGAUAAUGACGGUACCCAAGGAGGAAGCCACGGCUAACUACGUGCCAGCAGCCGCGGUAAUACGUAGGUGGCAAGCGUUGUCCGGAUUUACUGGGCGUAAAGGAUGCGUAGGCGGAUAUUUAAGUGAGAUGUGAAAUUCCCGGGCUUAACUUGGGAGCUGCAUUUCAAACUGGAUAUCUAGAGUGUGGGAGAGGAGAAUGGAAUUCCUAGUGUAGCGGUGAAAUGCGUAGAGAUUAGGAAGAACACCAGUGGCGAAGGCGAUUCUCUGGACCAUAACUGACGCUGAGGCAUGAAAGCGUGGGUAGCAAACAGGAUUAGAUACCCUGGUAGUCCACGCCGUAAACGAUGAGUACUAGGUGUAGGGGGGUCCAACCCUCUGUGCCGCAGUUAACACAAUAAGUACUCCGCCUGGGAAGUACGAUCGCAAGAUUAAAACUCAAAGGAAUUGACGGGGGCCCGCACAAGCAGCGGAGCAUGUGGUUUAAUUCGAAACAACGCGAAGAACCUUACCUGGACUUACAUCCCCUGAAUAGUGCAGAGAUGCAUGAAACCCUUCGGGGCAGGGAGACAGGUGGUGCAUGGUUGUCGUCAGCUCGUGUCGUGAGAUGUUAGGUUAAGUCCUGCAACGAGCGCAACCCUUAUCAUUAGUUGCUACCAUUAAGUUGAGCACUCUAGUGAGACUGCCCGGGUCAACCGGGAGGAAGGUGGGGAUGACGUCAAAUCAUCAUGCCCCUUAUGUCCAGGGCUACACACGUGCUACAAUGGUAGGUACAGAGAGAUGCAAGACCGUGAGGUGGAGCUAAACUCAAAAACCUAUCCCAGUUCGGAUUGUAGGCUGCAACUCGCCUACAUGAAGCCGGAGUUGCUAGUAAUCGCGAAUCAGAAUGUCGCGGUGAAUACGUUCCCGGGCCUUGUACACACCGCCCGUCACACCAUGAGAGCUGGCAACACCCGAAGUCCGUGAGGUAACCUGUAAAGGAGCCAGCGGCCGAAGGUGGGGUUAGUGAUUGGGGUGAAGUCGUAACAAGGUAGCCGUAGGAGAACCUGCGGCUG